CAGGUCAUUAAAGAUUGCAUAUUUUGGCGUUAAUAUUGAUUCACUUAUAGGGUCUUUGCAUCGGAACUAAACACAUUUAUUAUUAAUAAACCAGUUGUUGGCAUGACACGGGUUAUGUUCUUCUCAUAUAUGUUAUGAUGGUAUGAUACUAAACCCCUCACGGGGAGGAUUGUGACUGAUAUUCAUAUGAUGAAGACAUAAUUUUUCAAUCAGUUUAAGUGAAGUCUGGAGCUGGCAUGUCAGUUAACUGCUAGUAGUCUGGUGUUAUUUAUGUAUUAUUGUCAUUUUGUUUAUUUUCUUUGGUUACAUCUUCUGACAUCAGACUCGGACUUCUCUUGAACUGAAUUUUAAUGUGCGUAUUGUUUUGCGUUUACUUUUC
rnacentral:lncRNA from 1 species